CUCAAUGCCGAUUGUAACGUGUGGUCGUGCUAAGCUAACUCUUUCGGUGUUUUAGAAAGAAAUUAUGGGUGUGUAUUGUUGUGUUACCGGGUGCAACAGCUUCUCCUACGACUAAAAAAAGGGCGAGGAAAACUGGACUCACUUUUCACCGUUUUCCUGCAUGGAGGACCAAAUAUCAGAUCACGAAGGCACGACUGAUGGCUGGAUUGCAGCGGUUCGUCGGAAAAGCAUUUCUUAUGAUCAUAUUUCUGCUGGAAUGAGAGUAUUCCCCUCAUCUCUACUCUUGAAAACCUGCAUAUGAAAUGCUGACAACACAUCCCGAUUGGUCACCAUAUCUCUUCUUGGGUUAUUCUGAGGUCAAGCGCACCACAUCGGAGCGUUAUGAGAGGUUGGAAAAACGGUGAAAAGUCCUGUUUUCUGCGCGCCCCUCGUCGGAUUCCACGCCUGCCUUCCUUCCGAGCCUCCUCGUCUUACGCCAGCUCAUCUACCACGAGCCAAGUCAUCCACCCCAGCCACAUUCUCGUGAUCGCCAAUAAACGAUUACUCCUCUCACCCCUGUGUGUCUGCUUUGGGAUCCCCUCUUGCUCACGCAACCCUAACAGUUUGAUCGGGCCAUAAUGGAUCUCGCAGACAAACCCGCCGACUCGCCCACCUCACUCCGAGACCACCACCAAGCCAUAGAAUUCCUCUUCAAUAAGGUAACGGACAUUUCCCAUUCACUCCAAGCCAUACAAGAGCAGCUCACACCACUUCCACAAGCCCACUUAGCCCAGUCAGCCCCACGUCACGCCGCUACCCCUCCGUGCCACGUAGCCGCAAGUCACCCGGCGUCAUCGGCUACGGGC